UGAGGAAUAUUGGGCAAUGCCCGAAAGGGUGACCCAGCAACGCCGCGUGGAGGAUGAAGGUCGUAUGAUUGUAAACUCCUGUUAGAGGGGAAGAAUAACUAAGUUUGGAGCUUAGUAUGACUGUACCCUCAGAGAAAGCCCCGGCUAACUACGUGCCAGCAGCCGCGGUAAUACGUAGGGGGCAAGCGUUGUCCGGAUUUACUGGGUGUAAAGGGCGCGCAGGCGGAAUGGAAAGUCAGUGGUGAAAUCCUACAGCUUAACUGUAGAACUGCCUUUGAUACUUUCAUUCUUGAGUUCGGGAGAGAGAGACGGAAUUCCAGGUGUAGUGGUGAAAUACGUAGAUAUCUGGAAGAACACCAGUUGCGAAGGCGGUCUCUUGGUCCGAUACUGACGCUGAGGCGCGAAAGCGUGGGGAGCAAACA
rnacentral:rRNA from 1 species